GGCGGAGGGGCCCGGCGGGAACAAACAGCCGCCGCCGCGGGAGCGCUGCUCGGGUGGCCGGAGGCAGAUCCUCCUCUAGCCCAUCCCGCAAACCCUCGCUCCCUGGAGCCGCUGCCUUCACUGCGCUCAGCCCUGGAUGGUAAGGGUUCACGCGGGUGCCAGCUGGAGCUGGGAGCAGCAGCGAUAGUCCCCCACCCGUCAUCUCCCCAAGGCAGCGCCCGGGCCACCGAGGCCGAAGCGCGGUUGGAGCCGCACCAGCGGAGCCUGAGACGCCGGGACCAAAGCCGCCAGAGCGGGGCCCGAAGGAACCCGAGCGGCUUCCGGCCCAAGGCGAGACGCGCUUAAGUGAUCGCAAGGAACAAAGUUGGCGUUCUCAGCCUCGGGCCUCGGAGAGGAGCAGACAGGCAACCUGGUUGGAUCAAACAUAGCAUUGCAAGACCAAGGUGAUAGGCCUCGGUGGGACCUAGGUCAAGCCGAUCACUCCUUCUACAAGGUUCAACAUAUGAACUCUGAGAUGCCACGAUAUGAGGACUCUGGGGCUUGGGAUACAUGGACACGGAACUCUUGGAGGUUCUCCUUUUGGAUCAGAAGAUGAGCAUGCAGGUCUAGCUGCCAGCAGCCAUCCUUCCUGUCAUGUGGAAAGUGCUGUUUGACAUCAAAAGUCCAUCCACAGAUGAAAACACCCUAAGGAGCCAGAGCUUACUGACAAUGUUGAGUCCUCCUCCUCUGCCUGAAACUAGAACCCUUAGACUUCAUAGGUAUUCUAAAGAUAUUCCCCAUUCUGCUUAGUAGGUUGAGUCAAAUUUUUCACAAACAGCAGCACCACAGCAGAGAAAGAUCCUGGGUUCCUGAGACCAUUGAGGUGCCAUGCCAUUCUGAACUGCCUGCACAGAUGUUUAUGUGAAAGAGAAAUAAACUUGAAUCUUGGUUAAGCCACUGUUGUGGAAUUUUCUUUGGUAUGUAAGGUUGGGGAGGAGGGAAUCAGUUGCUCACAGUUGAGCUUAACCUUAAUUAAUACAGGGAGGGAUGGGGGAAUGUCUCAAAGACAUGAGACCUGGUUUGGGAGGUGUUAGCCUGGAGAAUAAAAGACUCGGGGUUGACAUAGCCGCCAUCUCCAGAUUUCUGCAGGGCUGACCUGAAGCACAAAGACCAAGGCAAAAGGGGAUCUGAAGGUUAUAAAGAGACUCAAUUUCUGUGACUCCGUGGAAGGGAGAAAUUCCAUCGUGGCUGUCCUUCAGAGAUUGGAUCUGCUACUUUGAUAGUAGUGAGCUCCCCAUCACUGGAAAUGCAUAAGUAGAGGCUGGAUAAUCACUGGGCAGGAAUCUUAAAGCCAUCCAGGUACAGCAGAAAGAGUACAGGUCUUAGAGCUGAGUUUUAAUUAUGCUCUCACCACUUACUGGUCUCAGACAGAUAAUCUCUCUAAGCCUCAUUUUUCUCAUUUGUAAAGUAUCCAGGUAGCUAGGUUGGAGACAGAGACCAAGGAGAUGUCCUGGCACUACCUCUCAGGGAUUUAUGGAACCUAGUACUCCAGUUGGAGCCAACUAGGAGUCAAGAGGCCUUAGUGAGGCUCCUUGCUCUCCUCUUCAACCUUGACAUUUUGAGCAUGCCUGCUCCAAUCUGCCAAGAGAAUGUACCUCCCCUGGUUUGUUCAUGAGACUGGAGAGGAGCAGUUGCACCUGAGGCCUGGGAUCUACUCCCAGACCUUCCCCUCCCUUCCUGUGUCACCUCAGAUACACCUCUGAACUUCUCCCAACCUCAGUUUCCUUAUCUGACAUGUGAGAAGCGCAUCUUCUCUUCUGGGCAGUCUGGAUCCAGAAUCAGGGCUCUUAUAACUACAGUACUGUGCCCUAUCUGUAACUCCAAAUGUGAGC
ensembl:lncRNA